CAUUUUUAAUUCCAAGAUAUUUACCAGUUAUAGCAGUUUUACCUUCAACUGGUCUCUUGUAUUUUCAUCACAUCUUUAUGAAGUGAAACAUGUUUAACUGUUAUCAUAAUCUCCUGCUUCAUGACAUACUGCAGCACAUUUUCCUUCAUUGUUUGAAUGUGUUGGAUAUAAAAUAUCAGGCCAGACACAAUCCAUUAUUACCUCAUCGUUAGCUGAGCAGUUAUUAAUAGUCUUUGAUUGAUGAUCAACAAGAGGAAACUGUGUGUCUGCAGCCGACUGUAAAACUGUCAGACUGUUUUAAUUAACUUUAAUAACCAGACGUAAAAUCAUGUGACAUCAUAGAAAUGCUUCUCAACCCCCCCAUCCACCAUUCUCCUCCUUUCUGAGACCUCAGACUCAGACCAGAAACAGACAAACUGAACUGUUUCAGGAUGAGCAGGAUGCUGAACGAUACAGCCUCUGGACUGAUGUGGAUUCAGGUCUGAUGUGGAUUCAGGUCUGAUGUGGAUUCAGGUCUGAUGUGGAUUCAGGUCUGAUGUGGAUUGUGGAAAUGAUGCUGCUGAGGUUUUUCCUCGCUUGGAUCAUUGGACUCUUCCAGGUGCAAACGACACCUUUCCUGUUGGGCACAUUGUUUCCUGACUGGUCGAUCUCAUCGAGUCGCACUGCGGCUAAAAAGUUGAACCUUUCUUCUUCUUAUUAUUAUUAUUAUUAUCAUUAUUAA
rnacentral:lncRNA from 1 species